UUAUCCACAGUUCNAAAUAGGAUUACCAGGUCACUACAAGUUCGUUCUUAAAAGCCAAAAGUUUUGGCGGACUUACACGAAACGUACAGGGGAAUCUGGGUAUUAAAGGAUGGUCCACCUACAUUUGUUCCUUGUUUUAGCUUCUGCGCAUGUAUGGCCGUUGUAACUAAUGUUUAAUAGCAUGCGUACGAUGGGUCGAUAUAAGUAAUAAGUCACUAAAAACCCCCGAUAUAAGGGAAAAAAGUGUACUUCUUCUUUAUGACCAAGUAAUUCAGGUUGUCAUUUGGCUAUUAACAAGGCGAGUCUGGAUUACAGUUGAAGUUGAGCAUAUCGGAUUUAUUUAGGAAACUUUUUACAUGAAGGAGGACUUGUAAGUAAAAUUGUAAAAUAAUGGCAAUUUGAAUGAAGUGUAGUAGUA
rnacentral:rRNA from 1 species